UUCUUCACUUUUARACUGAAACCAACCGCUUCGGCGUGAUGUGGUGAAUCAUAAUAAGCUAGCGGAUCGCAUGGCUUUGCCGGCRAUGGAUCAUUCAAGUUUCUGCCCUAUCAGCUUUGGAUUGGUGGGUAUUGGCCACCAAUGGCUUUAACGGGUAACGGGAAAUUGGGGUUUGAUUCCGGAGAGGGGGCCUGAGAGAUGGCCACCACAUCCAAGGAAGGSAGCAGGCGCGUAAAUUACCCAAUCAUGACACAUGGAGGUAGUGACAAUAAAUAACAAUGCCGGGCCUUUGUAGGUCUGGCAAUUGGAAUGASAACAAUUUAAACCCCUUAUCGAGGAUCAAUUGGAGGGCAAGUCUGGUGCCAGCAGCCGCGGUAAUGUAAGUACUUUAUUCCUCUCCUAGCCCUGUAGUGGCACUCGYCGUUGUGUAAAAUCUAAAGAAUAGCUUCUCACCGUAUAUUCACUUGUUUCCUGGGUACYACAGUCCAGCUYCAAUAGCGUAUAUUAAAGUUGUUGCARUUAAAAAGCUUKUAGUKGGAUUGRKGGYGGCUCCMGGGGUWCCAMKUUUUGUGACGS
rnacentral:rRNA from 1 species